UGAACUAUGCCUGGGCAGGGCAAGCCAGAGGAAACUCUGCUGGAGGUCCAUAGUGGUCCUGCCCUGCAAAUGGUCAUCCGACCUGGGUAAAGGGGGGAAAGACUAAUAAGA
rnacentral:ncRNA from 1 species